GGGUCUUAUACUAAGUCACAUGAGUCAGAUAAAGACCAAUACCAUAUGAUCUGACUUAUGUGUGGAAUCUAAAAACCAAACUCACCAGCCAAACAACAAUAACAACAGCAAACAGAAACAGAAUCACGAAUACGGAGAACAAACUGUUGAUUGCCAGAGGGAGGGGGUUGGUUGUAGGGGCAAAAAUGGUGAAGGUGAUUAAGAGGCAGAAACUUCCAGUUAUAAAAGUACAGCACAGGGAGUAUAUUCAAUAAUACUGUAAUAACUCUGUACAGUGACAGAUGGUAACCACACUCACUUAAUGGUGAGUAUAGCAAUACAUAAAAUUGGAGAUUAUGUUGUACACCCGAAACUAAUAUGACAUCUUAUGUCAGAUAUUACUUCAAUAAAUAAAUAAACAAGUAAAGUACAUGUGGCUAAUAUGGCAGAAACUACCCAGAUGUGCACUGAUGGAUGAGUAGAUAAACAAAAUGUGGUAUUAUUCAUAAAGGGAAUAUUAUUUAGCGCUAAGAAGGAAUGAAGUUCUGAUAUAUGCUAACACAUGUACGGUCCUUGAAAACAUUAUGCUAAGUGAAAUUAACCUGACACAAAAGCAUGAAAACGGUAUGAUUCCACAAUAGGCAAAUUGAUGGAGACAGAAAACAGAUUAAAGGGGCUGAGGGCAGGGGAGAAAAGGGAGUUUUGGUUACAGAGUGUUUGCUUUGGGUGAUGGAAAAGAUCUGGAAACGCAGUGGUGAUGGUUACACAGCAGCAUCGAUGCAAUUAAUGCCACUGCAUUGUAGAGUUAAAAACGGUGAAAAUGGCAUACUUUAUGUUUUAUAUAUAUUAUCACAAUAGUGAAAAGAAAUGUGUGUGGCUAUGAAGGAAAAAUGUCAGCCCUUAAAACUAGUAACAGCCUUAGUUAUUUCUGAUUUAAACAAUCAAGUUAUAUUCUGACAUGUAUCUGAAAGUACAGACACGUAGGUCACGUGCCAAGGAGGAAGUGGAGAGCAGAAAGCAGUCUAGAGAGCCGCAAACAACCACACUUACCUCCUGUUAAGUUUCCUUCAUGCGUUAGAAACUGUGACAGGCACUUUACACAUUUUAUACCUAACCCUCCACGCAAGCUACACAGGAGGUACUCAUACUGUGUUUCAGAUGAAGAAUCUCAGGCUUGGACAGGCAAAAACAACUUGUUUAAGACCAUAUUCCUGGGGGGGAGUAGAACAGGAUGUGAAACCAGGUCCUUCUCACAGGAGUCUUGUGCAGUCCAGUAUCCAAAGGCUGAGAACUCAGGCCGACUGAGGCUCAAAUGCUGGUGCUGUCUAGCCUCUCCAGGCUCCAACCUCCUCAUCUGUAAGUGGAGAACCACUGUACCCACCUCAGAGUCAGUUGUGAGGCUCAGAUAUCAUGGCAGGUAACACACUCAGUGCCGUGCCUGGCACGCAGUGAAUGCUCAAAGUUAGCCAUCAUUACUCCCUGAGAAACCUCAUAGGCCGGUGUUCAACACUGGUAGGUUUAUUCAAGUGGGUCCCUAGCCUUCCUGCAGGUUCAGAAACAGAGCUUUUCCAGACUUUCCAGAAAUGAUAAACUAAUGCUAACCAGCAUCACUUGAAAAUGCUGGAGUUUAAUUUAUCAUGGGAAUAUUUCAUUUGGUUACUAGAACACCUAAGCAUCAGUUCUGUGCAUCCUGUUUCAAAUGAUUAAGCUACCUAGAAAUUAGUGAUUAGGGCUUCUUGGUGAGUAUAAAAUUUCAGAUCGCAUUUCGCAGUUUUGUUGAAUGUCAUGUACCGAGCCCUGUGUUCAACUUUUCAGAUCAAUACUCUUAUUCAGUUCUCAGAAUUACCCUAGCAAAUAGGUAACUUUUAGUACCGUAAUACUAAUGAAGAAACCAAGGUUCUUAUGUCUUCAAGACUCAGUCUGCUAGUGAGGUCAAAAAUGGAACAUGGACCAGUUAUGAUUCUGAGGCCAUACUCUCAAUCAUUAUGUUCUAAGGACAAAGGGGGAGAAACCCACUGAAAGAGCAUUUCACUCCAGCUGUGGUGUACCUCAAGGGAAACAUUCCACCUACAGCAGGGGACAUGGCUGUAACGACCAAGGAGUUCAAGUUCCUGGAAGUACUCUCUUUUCCGGGGAACUUCCGGAUCCACACGAAACACCGUUCCCUAUGGCUCGCCUUCUUGUGUUGAGAACUCUUUCGGGCCUCAAGACGUUUUUCUGUCUACUGUUUCGUGAUAACGUAAUUUAAUUCUCAAAAGAAGCACACUGACUACAUACUUGCUAUGUAUUUGUGCCACCAUCAACGGUCCUGGGUAACUGGAGAGCUGAUACAUUGCCACAAGGCCCAACUGUGUUGUUUGCAUCAAAUGUCCUUGAUGUUUAGUAAAUAAAUGUUAGCUUUGA